rnacentral:rRNA from 1 species
CUCCGACCUCAGAUCAGACGAGAGUACCCGCUGAAUUUAAGCAUAUCACUAAGCGGAGGAAAAGAAACUAACUAGGAUUCCCCUAGUAAUGGCGAAUGAAGCGGGAAGAGCCCAGCACCGAAUCCCGCAGCCUUGCGCUGCAGGGAACUGUGGUGUUUAGGACGCCUAUUG